UCUUCGAUGGUCUAGUGGUGAUGAUUUCCGCUUGUCAUCAGACGCUGAUUACAAGAUUUCCGCGGGAGACCGGUUUGUCACGUGAUUCCGCUGUUCUCUUAGUCGUUUACUAACAAAAUAUCACAGGGGUUCGAUUCCCCGUCGGAGAG